GUCCUAGUUACCAGCACGUACGGUGGGCACUCUAAGGAGACUGCCGGUGGACAAACCGGAGGAAGGUGGGGAUGACGUCAAGUCAUCAUGGCCCUUACGGCCUGGGCUACACACGUGCUACAAUGGUCGGUACAAAGGGUUGCCAAGCCGCGAGGUGGAGCUAAUCCCAUAAAACCGAUCGUAGUCCGGAUCGCAGUCUGCAACUCGACUGCGUGAAGUCGGAAUCGCUAGUAAUCGUGAAUCAGAAUGUCACGGUGAAUACGUUCCCGGGCCUU
rnacentral:rRNA from 1 species